GUUUGAUCAUGGCUCAGAUUGAACGCUGGCGGCAGGCCUAACACAUGCAAGUCGAGCGGUAACAUAAAGAAAGCUUGCUUUCUUUGCUGACGAGCGGCGGACGGGUGAGUAAUGCCUGGGAAUAUGCCUUGAUGUGGGGGAUAACCAUUGGAAACGAUGGCUAAUACCGCAUAAUGCCUACGGGCCAAAGAGGGGGAUCUUCGGACCUCUCGCGUCAAGAUUAGCCCAGGUGGGAUUAGCUAGUUGGUGAGGUAAUGGCUCACCAAGGCGACGAUCCCUAGCUGGUCUGAGAGGAUGAUCAGCCACACUGGAACUGAGACACGGUCCAGACUCCUACGGGAGGCAGCAGUGGGGAAUAUUGCACAAUGGGCGCAAGCCUGAUGCAGCCAUGCCGCGUGUGUGAAGAAGGCCUUCGGGUUGUAAAGCACUUUCAGUCGUGAGGAAGGUACAUGCGUUAAUAGCGUAUGGAUUUGACGUUAGCGACAGAAGAAGCACCGGCUAACUCCGUGCCAGCAGCCGCGGUAAUACGGAGGGUGCGAGCGUUAAUCGGAAUUACUGGGCGUAAAGCGCAUGCAGGUGGUUUGUUAAGUCAGAUGUGAAAGCCCGGGGCUCAACCUCGGAAUUGCAUUUGAAACUGGCAGACUAGAGUACUGUAGAGGGGGGUAGAAUUUCAGGUGUAGCGGUGAAAUGCGUAGAGAUCUGAAGGAAUACCGGUGGCGAAGGCGGCCCCCUGGACAGAUACUGACACUCAGAUGCGAAAGCGUGGGGAGCAAACAGGAUUAGAUACCCUGGUAGUCCACGCCGUAAACGAUGUCUACUUGGAGGUUGUGGCCUUGAGCCGUGGCUUUCGGAGCUAACGCGUUAAGUAGACCGCCUGGGGAGUACGGUCGCAAGAUUAAAACUCAAAUGAAUUGACGGGGGCCCGCACAAGCGGUGGAGCAUGUGGUUUAAUUCGAUGCAACGCGAAGAACCUUACCUACUCUUGACAUCCAGAGAAGCCAGCGGAGACGCAGGUGUGCCUUCGGGAACUCUGAGACAGGUGCUGCAUGGCUGUCGUCAGCUCGUGUUGUGAAAUGUUGGGUUAAGUCCCGCAACGAGCGCAACCCUUAUCCUUGUUUGCCAGCGAGUAAUGUCGGGAACUCCAGGGAGACUGCCGGUGAUAAACCGGAGGAAGGUGGGGACGACGUCAAGUCAUCAUGGCCCUUACGAGUAGGGCUACACACGUGCUACAAUGGCGCAUACAGAGGGCUGCCAACCAGCGAUGGUGAGCGAAUCCCAAAAAGUGCGUCGUAGUCCGGAUUGGAGUCUGCAACUCGACUCCAUGAAGUCGGAAUCGCUAGUAA
rnacentral:rRNA from 1 species